rnacentral:rRNA from 1 species
UACGUAGGUGGCAAGCGUUAUCCGGAAUUAUUGGGCGUAAAGCGCUCGCAGGCGGUUUCUUAAGUCUGAUGUGAAAGCCCACGGCUCAACCGUGGAGGGUCAUUGGAAACUGGGAGACUUGAGUGGAGAAGAGGAGAGUGGAAUUCCACGUGUAGCGGUGAAAUGCGUAGGGAUGUGGAGGAACACCAGUGGCGAAGGCGACUCUCUGGUCUGUAACUGACGCUGAGGAGCGAAAGCGUGGGGAGCAAACAGG